rnacentral:rRNA from 1 species
UCCGUAGGCGGGCUAAUAAGUCAGGGGUGAAAUCCCACAGCUUAACUGUGGAACUGCCUUUGAUACUGUUAGUCUUGAGUUAUAUGGAAGUAGAUAGAAUGUGUAGUGUAGCGGUGAAAUGCAUAGAUAUUACACAGAAUACCGAUUGCGAAGGCAGUCUACUACGUAUAUACUGACGCUAAUGGACGAAAGCGUGGGGAGCGAACAGGAUUAGAUACCCGAGUAGUCC